UAAGCAUGGAUGAUGAAAGCUAUGUUGGUAGGGACAUCUGAGACUAAGUGAUGAAUACCAACGUCUCUGAUCUUGCUGA